rnacentral:lncRNA from 1 species
GUGAGAUCAUAAAGAGGGAGGCUCCUGUGAGCAGGGCAGACUGACUAAAAGUGGGAAAGAGUCUCAAGGGCUGGAAGAACCAUGCAGAAUGUUAGCCAUUGGGCCUGGUAUUUCCUUUCUUGGGACACCAAGUCCCGUCUGAUUUAGGCUUUCUUCAGAGCUCCUGGAUGGUUGCAGCUCUUGGAAAGAGACCAUUGGCAUGGAGGAGUUUCUGACAGGGUGCCUGAUGGUAGCAUCUCUCUUCCACUCCUGCCUGAAGCCAAUUCUCACUUGUUUGACCCCAGAGAAGAUCAUGAGGCCAGUGGGCUCACAAACAACAAACUCAGCGAAGGUUUCUCCAAGCAAACUUCUUCCUCCUUGGAAUUUCA